rnacentral:rRNA from 1 species
UACGAAGGGUGCAAGCGUUAAUCGGAAUUACUGGGCGUAAAGGGUGCGUAGGCGGUUCGUUAAGUCUGUCGUGAAAUCCCCGGGCUCAACCUGGGAAUGGCGAUGGAUACUGGCGAGCUAGAGUGUGUCAGAGGAUGGUGGAAUUCCCGGUGUAGCGGUGAAAUGCGUAGAUAUCAGGAAGAACACCCGUGGCUAAGGCGGCUCUCUAGUACGGUACUGACGCUGAGACGCGAAAGCGUGGGGAGCGAACAGG